rnacentral:snoRNA from 1 species
AUCCUUCUGUGUUCAGAAGAAAUGAUGAAUCGGGUUAUCACGUACUGAUAUGUGAGACAUGUCGCCGUUUACCUUGUUACGACUAUACGACAUGACACCCUGUCUGAUU